CUUUUGUGGUGAUGCUGGUGUAAACAGAAACAGAAACAGGAAUUGGAGUUUAUUAAAAUAUGACAACCACAACCCCUUAAAAAACAUAAGCUCAUUAAAGUACUAUAAUGUACUGUGGAUGCUAUAAACUUCGCUUUUUUAAAAAAAGGCCAACUUUCAACAGUCCAGCUCGUUUCCAUCUUAAUUUGCCAUAUUUGUUUUCCUCUAAUGUUUCUACCGUCUAUAUUAUCACUGCUGUUUUACAAAUUUGUUUUUAUUUUCGUAAACUGCUAACUAUAAUCUAGACCUCCUAGGCUGUCUAAAUAUUUCUAUUACGAAAUUUCUAAAAAAUCUUAAUUCUGUUUUCAUUCCAUCUAUUUUACAGAUUGUCUUAUUUUUUAAAUAUUUAAACCAGUAUUCUUUUAGAAUAUUUGUAGUCAUAAUUUGU
rnacentral:lncRNA from 1 species